GCUACUCUCUAAUAUUCGACCACGACUAUCGGACGGACUUCCUGUGACACGUGUCCGCCUCUGUUCACUGAGAAUCUGCCUACUGGAGGCGCAAGCGCUAUUCGGCUCUUAUCUGGCAAAAGGGAGGCGCGGCUAUAACCAUGGAUCCCAGUGUACUCGCCAACAUGGACAAGGAAGCACUGAAGAAGCAGAUCGAGAACAUGAAGUACCAAGUCAGUAUGGAACGGUGGCCCCUGUCGAAGAGUAUUCUCGCGAUGAGGGAGUACGUGGAACAGAACGAGAAGACUGACCCACUGAUACACGCGCCCGACAAGAAGAACAAUCCCUGGGCCGAGAGAGGCAAAUGCAUAAUCAUGUAAUCAGGACGUAGAACCGCAGGGGAGUAGGAGAAGGAGAAGAGGCGAGGAAGCAUCUGAGCGAGUAUCAUCCGAAGCGAGCAAGGGGGCUAGGAAAACUGUUUAGCCGCGUUUGAAAUAAACCAGCGAAACAAACCAAACCAAAUGAAAGAAGCAGACAAGCAAAAGCGAAAAAAAAAAAAUUAUAUACACAUGCGAAAGAAGAAAAACGUUAAAAAAGGGAAUAAAAAAGAAAAAAAAAAGAAUAAAACAGAAAUCAAGAAAGUGAAAGGGAAGAGGAAAGAGGGAGGAAAGACAGGAAGGAAUUUACGAUGAUAAGGAAGCAGAAGUACAAGAGAAGAUGUCGAGCGAAGUUGGACGAGAUAACCUGUAAGAUGGAGCCAGGAGAGCAGCGAGUCUCGGAAGGAGGAGCUUUGGUUGGCGCGAAGCGAGGUUAAACUAGCCAGAGCAAAUUAUUCAACAAUCUAAUUCUUCGCGGUUACCUGUUCGCACUGACUUUCCCGUUUGGCAUGCAAACGAACGACCGCCGCGUUUCGACUCGGCUUUCUUCGUCUCUCUAAUUCCCGCUCUCGACUCGAAUCUCGAGCAAUUCCCGAGACCUGGUCCUCGUAUACAGAGGCACGCCUCGUUGAAUUCGCACGACGGCGAACAGAGACGCGAAAAAGUAUCCUGUAUCGAUAUUAAUUGGUUAAACUUUCACCACGUGCGCGCGUCGAUCUCUGUUUCUCACUCGUUCUUUCUCUGUCUCUCUCACUCCCUCCCACCCUUCGCCGCUCUAUCUGCGUCUCCUUCUUUUCGAUUGUCGCUCUCUUACUCUCGGCGCUGGCGAGCGAAUAUGGCAGUCGAUAAUUUGCCCUGUGGGUUUCGGGGAAGCAAGGACACAAACCAGACAUGGAUGGUGAAAAUUUAAUCGAUUUCGAUCGAUCUAAGAGACGAAACGAGUGAAACGGGCGAGAUACGAAAGGAUCGUUUAAACGAAGUAUGGAUUCGCGCUUCCGCCUCAGUCAUCGUUCCGAAUUCCGAGUUCUGGAUGAGUUCCAUGUAUCAGUUUCUGAUUCGAUUCCAUUCGUUCCGAUCGGACACGUGUUACGCGCCGUAAACACAUCGUGUGCAAUUCUAACCUAGUACCACGGGAAACUCUUUUGAAUCGUUCAUUAUAUCGCAAAAUGAAAGCCAGCAGUGAGCUUAAGAUAUUUCCAACUCCUCCAUCGGUAUAUUACACUAAAUCUACUAUUUAUAAACAUCGUCGCAACUGAGAUUACGGAGUAGCACGCGCUAUACACGGUAGCAGGUAUACUCCGUGCGUUACAAACUCGAUUCCUUCGAUAUUCAAAUAUAAAGCAUUGCAAAUUUUUUUCAAAUUUACCUGCAAUUUAAUUGUACCACGAAUUACCAUUCUGCAUAGCUAAAACUGCCAAAAUGUAUGCUUAACGAGACACACGGAUAAUUAUAAAAUCCUACAAAAAGGAAAUGAGAGAAAAAAAAGACAGAAAAAAGAAAAAAAACAGAUCGUAAGAGAGAGUUUUAAAAUAACACGUUUCACGGUGCAGUGUACAGUAUUAAUUCGUACCAAUUUCCUUUGUAAUUUGUAAUCGGUAUUUAUAAUGUUAUUAAAGCAAUUUUCAUUGCAGGGACCAUCCUGUAUGUACCACAGACAGAUAAAUUAAAGCAAAAAUAAAGUAAUCGAUAACGCCUAAGUCGAAUUGUCUCGAGGGUUGUCAAAGUCACCAGAGAACAGCCGGGGGAUUCCCCGUGGAGGUACGACAGACCAUUGACGUGAUCCCUCGCCCACGACAUCCUCUAUCUGUUCUGCGUUGCUCGAGCGUUUGCAGCCAUUUCCAUCGUCGAUUGUCUCGCGGCUUCGUAGAACUUUAUUCGUGCUGGAAAACGUCUACGACGCCUGUUGAACGAGAACGGGAUUCCUUUCGGGGAAGGAGUCGCGUUUCAGAGACCUAUUCGCGAUAAGGCAGUUAUCUGUAAGACCGAUCGAGAAGAGGUGGAGGAAGAAAAGCAGGAAAAGAGAAAGAACGAAGGCUCGUGUACUCUCGUUGGAUUGUACCGUGUUGAAUAGCGGUGUCUGAGGAGGAAACGUGAGAAAGACGAAAAGAGGAGCGUAAUGAAAUAUUACUUUCACUUUUUAAUACGCGCAAGAAGACUCACAGCAGAGGCCGCUGUCCGGCUUUCCAACAAUUAGCGAUUAUCGAGGAUAUGCCUUGGUUAUUUUCUUUCCAUCGGCUUACAUGAUUCGGGACGUUUUGGAUGAUUAACAAACUGGUGAAGGUUUUUUCCUGAAGGAUGCACGAUGAUCAUGUCCACGUGUCUGUGUGGGAAACGUUGACAGAGCGUUAUGGGCAUGUGGUAGCUGGUUGAAUGAG
rnacentral:misc_RNA from 1 species